UCUUUCUCAUGACAAAGGCAGAAAGCACCGUCUUGCAACAGCUCCCAGCCUCCUUUCCCACAGACAAGCAAAUCUCCACAGCAGCACGUCUGACACCAGCUGAAAACAUCUGGAGUGGUUCUGAUAGGAGCAGAGCCAGCUGCCUUUUCAUAUUUCUCCGGGACUGGGAGAUAUAUAUCAGAUACUAUGCAUGAUAAAUGUGUUGAUUUUGCAUUCAGCUCUGGGAACUAAGACAGGGCUGAGAAGAAGAGCAACUGUGAGAAGGGAAUGCUUGCCUGGAAUGUGGUUUAGUGAGCAUGUGGAUCCUUGUGAACACAGGGCAUUUACAAGUGACUAAUCACUACCAUGCCCUCCUAAGAGCCUUCUCCAAUCCCACCGCUGUGCUCCUUGUGGACACUAACAAAUCCAGCCUCACAGCCCCCAGGGAAACAAGAGACUGAGGAAAUCACUUUCCCAAGGACAUAUAAUCCAUCUGCAGCAGAGCAUGCAAAGUGUCAUUCUGCCCUGGGUCACCUCCCCACACCCGCCAAAUGGGGCCCCCCUCACGUCAUCAUGGGCUGCAGCUGGCUGUGUCCACACUGUCUGUAGGCAGGCUUCAAGGAUAAGGUGCAACCAAGGAGUUUGGGUUGGCAUGCAGAGUUAAGCCUUGAGCUACCACAAUGGCAAGGAUGUACCCAGGACUCUCACCUGUGCUUGAAAUGUUCUGCUGCUGAGUAAACCUCCAAAUCCACAGCACCCCACUGCUCCAUAUCCACCCAGCACUGCUCAGCAUCCACACUGUCCUCUCUUAAAGCAGCUGAACCCAUCUGUGUGGAGCUAUCCUGGAGGUCUGCAUAAGCACCACAGGAUCCUAGGACCUCCAGCCAGAUGAAGUACACACCAUCAUUCCUCCUAAACAACACAGGUCUCCAAAAAGCUUUUGCAACCCUUGCUGCUCUUGAUUUUUUUUGCACUUCCCAUGCCAGACAGAAAAGCGGUGACCAUGACAAGUGCUGUGUACUGUUCAGCUGAAAGCAUAUCUAAAGCCACCCGGUCACUUCAGAAAAAAAAUUAUAAAGACCCUUGAGGAGGAGAAGGCUGAAAUGAGGCAGACAACCCUGCAGCAGCUUAUUUAUUAGAAGACUUUCACCAGGGAAGAGGUGUCUCAGGGAUGUGCCAGAGAGACAAUUAGUGGCAAGGACACCAGUGCAGCUGCAGCAAUUGAAAAGCAGCGUGGCAGAAGCAGGAGUAUAUUUAGGGGUGGUCCUGAGCAGGAGAAGGAGUCAAUUUUCAGGGUCACACUUUCCCACUGAAAGAUUCUUCUUUGGGUUGACCAAGCUAGGUCACGCAUCACUGCAAAAAUCAGCGAAUUAUUUCAACUGAGGAGAAGAAAACUGACAAGUUCAAAGGCUCCAAUUCAACAUUUUCUGAAUUAGCUGUUUUAGCUUCUUGAAAUAGCCAUUUAUUUUUACAGAUUUCUAAUAGGCUAUUAGACCUUUUUUUAAGAUCCCUUAGCAGAACAUUUGCUUUCAAACUGAGUAAUUUACUCAACACAAGAUGAUUUUUCUGCUUUUCAUUACAGCAGGAAACUGAAAAAUAAUGAAUUUCCCAAUGACCCCCAGUUGUGGGCUUGUUUUGUGGUGUUUUUUUUGGUU